rnacentral:tRNA from 1 species
UAGCUUAGUUGGUAGUGCGUCUGCCUUUUAAGCGCUAGGCUGCGGGUUCGAUUCCCGC